rnacentral:rRNA from 1 species
CCUACGGGUGGCUGCAGUGGGGAAUAUUGCACAAUGGGCGCAAGCCUGAUGCAGCCAUGCCGCGUGUGUGAAGAAGGCCUUCGGGUUGUAAAGCACUUUCAGCGGGGAGGAAGGCGUUAAGGUUAAUAACCUUGGCGAUUGACGUUACCCGCAGAAGAAGCACCGGCUAACUCCGUGCCAGCAGCCGCGGUAAUACGGAGGGUGCAAGCGUUAAUCGGAAUUACUGGGCGUAAAGCGCACGCAGGCGGUCUGUCAAGUCGGAUGUGAAAUCCCCGGGCUCAACCUGGGAACUGCAUUCGAAACUGGCAGGCUAGAGUCUUGUAGAGGGGGGUAGAAUUCCAGGUGUAGCGGUGAAAUGCGUAGAGAUCUGGAGGAACACCGGUGGCGAAGGCGGCCCCCUGGACAAAGACUGACGCUCAGGUGCGAAAGCGUGGGGAGCAAACAGGAUUAGAUACCCCUGUAGUC